rnacentral:rRNA from 1 species
AUUGAACGCUGGCGGCAGGCCUAACACAUGCAAGUCGAGCGGAUGAAGGGAGCUUGCUCCUGGAUUCAGCGGCGGACGGGUGAGUAAUGCCUAGGAAUCUGCCUGGUAGUGGGGGAUAACGUCCGGAAACGGGCGCUAAUACCGCAUACGUCCUGAGGGAGAAAGUGGGGGAUCUUCGGACCUCACGCUAUCAGAUGAGCCUAGGUCGGAUUAGCUAGUUGGUGGGGUAAAGGCCUACCAAGGCGACGAUCCGUAACUGGUCUGAGAGGAUGAUCAGUCACACUGGAACUGGGGAACGGGUCCGGCUCCUACGGGAGGCAACAGUGGGGAAUAUUGGACAAUGGGGGGAAACCUUGUCCCAGCCAGGCGGGGGGGUGGAAAAGGUCUUCGGGUUGGAAAACCCUUUUAGUUGGGAAGAAGGGGAGUAAAGUUAAUCCUUGGCGUUUUGAAGUUAACAAAAGGAUAAGCACCGGCUAACUUCGUG